AGUGAACGCUGGCGGUAGGCCUAACACAUGCAAGUCGAACGGCAGCACCGUAAGAGCUUGCUUUUACGGGUGGCGGGUGGCGGACGGGUGAGGAAUACAUCGGACUCUACUUUUUCGUGGGGGAUAACGUAGGGAAACUUACGCUACUACAGCAUACGCCCUACGGGUGAGAGCAGGGGAUAUUCGGGGCUGGCGCGGAUGAACUAGCGGCUGUCGGAUUUGCUAGUUGGCGGGGUAAAGGCCCACCCAGGCGACGGUCCGCUGCUGGACUGAGUGGAUGGUCGGCCACACUGGAACGUAGACACGGUCCAGAGUCCUACGGGAGGCAGCAGUGGGGAAUAGUGGACAAUGGGCGCAAGCCUGACCCAACCAUACCGCGUGGGUGAAGAAGGCCUUCGGUUUGUAAAGCCCUUUUUUUGGGAAAGAAAAGCAGCAGGUUGAUACCCCGCUGUUCUGACGGUACCCAAUAAAUAAGCACCGGCUAACUUCGUG
rnacentral:rRNA from 1 species